rnacentral:rRNA from 1 species
CGGACGGGUGAGUAUGUAUGGGGAUCUGCCUGAUGGCGGGGGAUAACUACUGGAAACGGUAGCUAAUACCGCAUAAUGUCUACGGACCAAAGCGGGGGACCUCCGGGCCUCGCGCCAUCAGAUGAACCCAUAUGGGAUUAGCUAGUAGGUAAGGUAACGGCUUACCUAGGCGACGAUCCCUAGCUGGUCUGAGAGGAUGAUCAGCCACACUGGGACUGAGACACGGCCCAG